UACGUAGGGGGCAAGCGUUUGUCCGGAAUCAUUGGGCGUAAAGCGCACGUAGGCGGAUUGUUAAGUCAGGGGUGAAAUCCUGGAGCUCAACUCCAGAACUGCCUUUGAUACUGGCGAUCUCGAGUCCGGGAGAGGUGAGUGGAAUUCCUAGUGUAGAGGUGAAAUUCGUAGAUAUUAGGAAGAACACCAGUGGCGAAGGCGGCUCACUGGUCCGGUACUGACGCUGAGGUGCGAAAGCGUGGGGAGCAAACAGGG
rnacentral:rRNA from 1 species